rnacentral:rRNA from 1 species
ACGUCAAAUCAUCAUGCCCCUUAUGACCUGGGCUACACACGUACUACAAUGGCGGUUAACAACGGGAAGCGAAAGCGCGAGCUGGAGCAAAUCCCAAAACCGUCUCAGUUCGGAUCGCAGGCUGCAACCCGCCUGCGUGAAGUCGGAAUUGCUAGUAAUCGCGGAUCAGCCAAGCCGCGGUGAAUACGUUCCCGGGCCUU